AGUCGCCACCUCUUCUACCGCCUGCGCCUGUCAACCACGCGCCAUUCCUGUCUCAUCGGCCUUAUCUCCCCGUGGCCACACUCGUCACCACUGCCGCACCUGCUCAUCAUGCCCGUUCCUAUUCUGCGCCGCCCUGCUUCAUUCUGAGGUGUGGGUGCCCUUUGGCUCCUUCCCGACCCAUCCCACCCACCAACCUCUCCCAUCUGGGUACUUACGUUCACACCUCAUUGAGCUCUCUGCUUGGGCCAUUGUCUGGUCAUCUUCCCAGACAAUUGCCACCCAUUCACUGCUACCGCUCUCACCGCUGUCUCACUUGCUCCACUGACAUCUGCCUCCCUGCCAGUUCCUGCCCAAGGAGAUCUCUCCCUGUCUCCACCCUGAGUCCUUCCAACUGUGGUCUUCCCAGUCAUCAGGUUGUGACAUCACACCAAAACGAAUAUCAUCUCUCCCUGAUGAACUUUUGGGCCACACAGAUGUCAUCACCUACUCUCUUCACCCAAUGCCUGGGUCCAAGCCAUCUUACAUCCCCAGUUAUAGGGUGCCACACAGCCAACAAGUUUGCUUGAUGAAGCUGUACAAGAAAAUCCUUUUGUGUACUGAUAAACAGCAGUGUGGUUCCUAUGAUGCUGUUGAAAGAAAGAAAAAAAAUGUCAGUCCCUUCCAGAAGUACUACAUUUGUUGAAAAGUAGUACUACAUUUGUUGAAAAGUCCCUUCCAGAAGUACAACAUUUGUUGAAAAGCAGUAUCAAGUUAUUGAUGGAAGGAAAGUGGAAGUAAGCUCAAGUUGGCAGGGACAUGAACAACACAUAAAUAAAAUACAUACCUGGUUUUACGAAGCUCAGGGAUGCCCUGAUGGAGGUAUGACCACUGCUGGCAAAAAAUAGGACCUAACUUGGGCAUGAAGUCUUGCAACCUC